GGCAGCAGCUGGAAUCCAGCGUCACCCACCAGGACGACCCAGGCUUUGACGCCCAUGCCCAUGCUGGAGGCUACAGUCUCCUUUCUUCGAGGGAAGCUCAUAUUUCCUAGCAGAAGUCUUUGAUGAAACAGACGAACCAGGAAGUGCUUUGUUUCUGCUGCUCUCAGUUUGGCCUUGACCUCGGCAGCGGAGAACGCGCACCACACCGCUUCCGUUAUCUGCAAACCCAGCCGCAUUGGAAGAAGACCCCCGCCUCCCCGCCUGCUCCACCACAGCGUCCCGGGAGGGUUUCUGGGGUAGCCGGGCCCUGCCUGUUCCGCCUUCCCAGCUCUGGGAACUGGGAUUCGGCCCCUCGCUGGCACUGUGCUUGGCUCAGGCUGAGGCUGCGCUGUCCCGGUGCCCGGCUCCCCCUGGUGGUCAGGUGUGUCCUGUGCGGCACCCUAGGCCCUCCCUGCAUCCAUCUGGCCGGCAGGGGCAGUCUGUGCUUCAUCUCUGCCUCCCACCCUAGCCCUAAUUCUCAUCUCUGGCCUGGACCCCGGCUGGACUUGGGCUCCCACCCUAGUCCUCUCAACCCAUUGUCAGAGCAGCCGGACACAUCUCUCAAGACGUCUUGUCCACCCUGCCUCUGGCCCCUCCCAUAGCUCCCUGUCACCCUUAAAUCAAACCCUUUCCCAGUGCCUGUGUGAUCUAGCCCUGGCCACCUCGCCAGCCUGACCUGAAGCUGUCACCUCCUUUCUUGUGCUCCAGCGAAACUGGCCCCUCGCAGGUCCCAGGGCUUUUGUCACUUAGCCUUUGCUCGCUUCUACUGUGCAUUUUUAUGAGCAUCUCCUACGUGCCAGGUACUGAGCUAGAUACUUAGGUGCUGGGUGACUUAGUCCUUGACCCCCAGGGCUGGUGCCAUUCACCAGCCCUGAAUAGUGAAAAAUGCUAAAAGGGAAGGGGCAAAGCUCUAGGAACAAGACCCCGGGGUGGGGACGGGGAGGAGGCCUCCUGGAACCCAUUCUGCAGGCCUCAGCUGGCACUUCGCCUCUCUGACAGCCCCCUGCCCCCACCCAGAGGAGCCAGGGCCUGGGUGUCUGCACCCACAGCACCCUGACCCCUUCCUGCCCAGCGCUCGCCAUACUUUGCAUUUAGGCCUUGGUUUGUGCAACUGUAGCAGUGGGUUUGUGCAUCCACGCUGCCUGUGCAGGGCUUGGGAGAGCAACUGGAGCUACUUCCUUGGCACAGACGUGGGAGAUGUGGUCUCACAAACCCCACACACAGAGGAGUAAACUGAGGCUGGCAGUGAGGGAGGCUGCAUUAAUGACCCCAUGCUGCACCAUGAGGUGGCCAGAGGUGAGCAGGAAGAGGGACCACAUCUCCUCCUAUUACUGUUUGGAGGCACCUGGCCAACUCAGCCAGUCCCCAGCUCAGAUUCCCUCCACAGCGCUAGGACUGUGGUCCCCUAAAGGCUUGGCUGGGGGACAGUGGGCUGUCGGCAGGGCCACCUCGGGCCUCGCUCAGGUCUGUGCUCCGUGAGCAUCUCCCCCAGCUCCUGCCUGGGGUUCUGCUCACUACUUCAUGGCCAGGAAUGGAGCUGGAGAGGCCAAGCAGGACAGAGCCACCAGCAUUUGGCGAGUGGCUCUCGGAGGGCCAAGCAGGAAACCAAGUUUGAGUGUCAACAACACCGGCUUCGUCCAGCGUGCAAACCCAAAGACGGAGAAGCAGGAGCCCAGCCCAGCACGGCCCAGAAGUUGGGAGGGAUGCUCAUCCAUGAGAGGGCCGGUGUUUUCCAGGAGCCCGGCUGACUGACUGCUCUCCUGAUAAGGUCCUUCCUGGUUGUUUCCAGGGGAAGUGCUGGAGGCUGUGUGAAGGGCACAGCCCUUGCCGUGGAAACUCAAGGCAUGUUGGCUCUCAGGAGCCAGCCCUAGGCAACCCACAGUGGGUGCUGGCCGGAGAACAGGCCAUUAUCUUUCCGGAGCCACAGAAUGUUUUAACCCAAAAGGGAGCCCUGAUGAAGUGCUAGCCACCUUGACACUCCUGCAGAUUCUCUUGCCUCACCUCUGGAACCCAGAGCAGCUGCUUGUGUGCCAGCUUUCCAGAAGUCCCUUUUCCUUUUACUUCUCCCACAAAUGGACUCCCACCUCAG